UACAGAGGUCUCAAGCGUUGUUCGGAUUCAUUGGGCGUAAAGGGUGCGUAGGUGGCGCCAUAAGUCAGGUGUGAAAGCCCGGGGCUUAACCCCGGAAUUGCGCCUGAAACUACAUGGCUAGAGCAUUGGAGAGGGUAGCGGAAUUCACGGUGUAGCAGUGAAAUGCGCAGAUAUCGUGAGGAACACCAGAGGCGAAGGCGGCUACCUGGACAAUUGCUGACGCUCAGGCACGAAAGCGUGGGGAGCAAAAGGG
rnacentral:rRNA from 1 species